AUACGAAGGGUGCAAGCGUUACUCGGAAUUACUGGGCGUAAAGCGUGCGUAGGUGGUUGUUUAAGUCUGUCGUGAAAGCCCUGGGCUCAACCUGGGAAUGGCGAUGGAAACUGGGCGACUAGAGUGUGGCAGAGGGUAGUGGAAUUCCUGGUGUAGCAGUGAAAUGCGUAGAGAUCAGGAGGAACAUCCGUGGCGAAGGCGACUGCCUGGGCCAACACUGACACUGAGGCACGAAAGCGUGGGGAGCAAACAGGAUUAGAUACCCUGGUAGUCCACGCCCUAAACGAUGCGAACUGGAUGUUGGGUGCAAUUUGGCACGCAGUAUCGAAGCUAACGCGUUAAGUUCGCCGCCUGGGGAGUACGGUCGCAAGACUGAAACUCAAAGGAAUUGACGGGG
rnacentral:rRNA from 1 species